GAAAUGUGUAAUGCUUCUAAGUCUCCAAAAGAUAUGGUCUUUCAUAGUCUUCCAUUCAUUAAAACUUACACUAUUGACAUAAUAAGUAGCACUUCCCAUAAUUCCAGUUUCCAGCAUUCUAUAAUGUGUGGCUUAUCACAUUCCAAUUGCCAUUCUACCCACCAAAUACUCAACAAAUCUAGGUGAAGUUGCCAGGGUUACAAUAAUUAGAAUAGUCCAUUACCAACAGGUGGUUUCAAAUUUCAAGCCAACUAAAAGACACGAGCUUCUUGUUUGAUACUGAAUUCCAAUCCAUAGGACCAUGUAAAAUUAAGCUAUAUUAGCCUGCAAAAUCUAAUGUUUCUCAUCAUCCAACAUGCGAGACUUAUUGAAUAUUUUAAUCAGGAACCUCAGAAACAUCAAAUUAAGUAAUAGAACACAAUUUCACUUAAUGCUCCUGUUCUGACAGCUUCAACUGGUGUAACCCUCAGCUAGCAUCCACAAUAGUACACUGAAUUUAUUAAAAUAUACUCAUAUAUUGCCA
rnacentral:misc_RNA from 1 species